GACGAACGCUGGCGGCGUGCUUAACACAUGCAAGUCGAACGGAAAGGCCCUGCUUUUGUGGGGUGCUCGAGUGGCGAACGGGUGAGUAACACGUGAGUAACCUGCCCUUGACUUUGGGAUAACUUCAGGAAACUGGGGCUACUACCGGAUAGGAGCUCCUGCUGCAUGGUGGGGGUUGGAAAGUUUCGGCGGUUGGGGAUGGACUCGCGGCUUAUCAGCUUGUUGGUGGGGUAGUGGCUUACCAAGGCUUUGACGGGUAGCCGGCCUGAGAGGGUGACCGGCCACAUUGGGACUGAGAUACGGCCCAGACUCCUACGGGAGGCAGCAGUGGGGAAUAUUGCACAAUGGGCGGAAGCGUGAUGCAGCAACGCCGCGGGCGGGAUGACGGCCUUCGGGUUGUAAACCGCUUUCGCCUGUGACGAAGCGUGAGUGACGGUAAUGGGUAAAGAAGCACCGGCUAACUACGUG
rnacentral:rRNA from 1 species